AAUUUGAAAAGAGAUUAGGAUGGUCGUCACGUUAUUGUGAAAUAAGUGCCUUUUCUUCCCUAUGUCGACAUUGAAUGAAAUAAUCGUAGCUAUUUCAUGUGUCUAUAAGGAUAUAAUUCCUGUUAAACCUAGUUUGAAUCGUGUCUUAAGCAAAUAUUAGUAUUGAAGCCGUAAUUCAUUUCAACGGCCAAUUUCCUUAAAUAAUUUUUCAUGUUUAGAGGUGAUUUUAGUCACUUUACAAGCUUUUAAAUAAGGAUGAGACUUUGACAAGUCAGUGUAUCACGCAUUUACAAAUACACGCACAAAGUUCGUGCAUCUAGUAACUUUCUGUCAAUUUAGGGAUUCUCGAAACACGGUCUUGUCGGUAUUUCUAUAUAAUAAUGAUUAAAAUUAUGCACCCAUAUUAUAGAAAUUUGCACGCAAAUAAAGUGUGUUGUCGCGUUUUUUUUUACUUCUUCUAGAUAUGGUUAAUUAAUCUAUAUUCCAUCAAAUGUAGAAACACACGAAAUGUAGAAAAUUUGCAUGUAGCAUGCGAGACAUGAAUAAAAAGACUUAGGCCACUGUCACGAGCUCAUUUAGAUAUUUGUAAGCUUUUCUGUAACAUCCAAACCGUUUGUAUAUGUUACAAGGAAAAAAUGUUUACUGGAAUUUUACAUUGGAAAGUACUUCACUUGUGUAUUACUGAUUCUGGGAAAUUCUUAAUAUUCUUAUAUGGAUAAGUUCGAAUAACCAAAUGUGUGUACGGAUAUAGUUUACGACAGAGUAUAUCAAAUAAGUUGCGUUCGAAUAAUCACAUGUUUGUACGGAUAUAGUUUACGACAGAAUACGUCAAAUAAGUUGCGUUUGAUUUUGCACCAUCAGUGUCCAUUUCGAGAUUGGAUUAGGCUUUUAUCGGAAAUUAUACUGUUAACUACAACAUAAAUCGAGAGGUAUAAACUUAAUACAUGGUAGAAAUUCAAGAGAUUGCACAGCAGAACUCCAACAGGUUGUAAAUUCUACAAUAUCAAUCCAUAGAUAUCAAAUCAAAUCAAUUUACUGUAAACAGGAUCAGAUGAGUUCAAUAAUAUGUUUCAUAUAACUAUUCGAAGGAACACUUUUUUUGUAGUUUUAUAAAACAAAACUACAAAAUACCGAAUUAAACUGUUUGCACUAUGUAUAUACCAUCACUCGCAUUUCCAAAAACCCUUUCUACCGCCAAAAGGCGCUUAAAAAAAAAGCGAGAAUCCACUAAAUAUUAAUAGAACUCUUAAUGAGUCAUUAUCUCAAAAACAACAAUAAUAUUACGCCAAAACUAUCAAUUAAAGGGCCAUCUAUACGUUAAGAUGACAACUAUUAAAAUACAAAUUUUACACCUUUAAUUUCUCAACUGGAAAUUUUGCAAGUAUCAAUGUAAGAUCACGAAUGUACUAUAACAUUUGUUUGAAGGCUAGAUAUACU